rnacentral:rRNA from 1 species
GUAGGUGGCAAGCGUUGUCCGGAAUUAUUGGGCGUAAAGCGCGCGCAGGGUGGUUCUUUUAAAGUCUGAUGUGAAAGACCCCCGGCUCAACCCGGGGGGGGGGAGGGUCAUUGGGAAACUGGGGGGGAACUUGAGUGCAGGAGAGGAAAGUGGAAUUCCACGUGUAGCGGUGAAAUGCGUAGAUAUGUGGAGGAACACCAGUGGCGAAGGCGACUUUCUGGCCUGUAACUGACACUGAGGCGCGAAAGCGUGGGGAGCAAACAGGAUUAGAUACCCUGGUAGUCCACGCCGUAAACGAUGAGUGCUAAGUGUUGGGGGGUUUCCGCCCCUCAGUGCUGCAGCUAACGCAUUAAGCACUCCGCCUGGGGAGUACGGUCGCAAAGACUGA